UUAAGUUCAGCGGGUAUUCCUACCUGAUCCGAGGUCAACUAUCAGAAGUUGGGGUUUCACGGCGUGGCCGCGCCGCUCUCCGAUGCGAGGUGUGCUACUACGCAGGGGAGGCUGCAGCGAGACCGCCACUGUAUUUCGGGGACGGCGCCGCGCCAGGGCGGGCCGAUCCCCAACACCAGUCCCCGGGGGGGCUGAGGGUU
rnacentral:misc_RNA from 1 species